UCACUGUGAUGACGAUUUUCCUGCCAUUCGUAGUUUCCACCAGAGGUUGAAAGACCAAAGAUGGCCCAACUCCUUCCUUGGAUGUCUGAGUGA
ensembl:snoRNA SNORD14 Small nucleolar RNA SNORD14